rnacentral:rRNA from 1 species
UUUUUAUGGAGAGUUUGAUCCUGGCUCAGGAUGAACGCUGGCGGCGUGCCUAAUACAUGCAAGUCGAGCGAACAGACGAGGAGCUUGCUCCUCUGACGUUAGCGGCGGACGGGUGAGUAACACGUGGAUAACCUACCUAUAAGACUGGGAUAACUUCGGGAAACCGGAGCUAAUACCGGAUAAUAUAUUGAACCGCAUGGUUCAAUAGUGAAAGACGGUUUUGCUGUCACUUAUAGAUGGAUCCGCGCCGCAUUAGCUAGUUGGUAAGGUAACGGCUUACCAAGGCAACGAUGCGUAGCCGACCUGAGAGGGUGAUCGGCCACACUGGAACUGAGACACGGUCCAGACUCCUACGGGAGGCAGCAGUAGGGAAUCUUCCGCAAUGGGCGAAAGCCUGACGGAGCAAC